CCUUUAUCCUAAUCAUUGUUUACUUAUAUAUUCUUUGUUAUUGCGUUGUCAUACCAUUUGUUUUUAAAUAGUCUUAAGUAGAAAAGUUUACCUAGUUGGAUUUUCAUUAUUCUAUGAUUUCAACCAUAUGUAAAAUGGAUAUAUAACAAUAUGAGAAUGUGCGUCCAACAUUAAUCCAAUUUUCAAACGAAUUAAAAUACGUCUAUAAUCAUGUCUUAGUUGCCAUGAAUCAUGUUUCUUAGUAGUGGACUUGUCACCUGUGUUGCACAAAGUUGCCCCAAAAAAUUCAUAAAGCUAUGGCUGCAUGAAUUACCUGGCUCAUUAUGUUUGGUGUUAUUUAUUUUAAUGAGUUACACUUGUUUUACUUUCCAUUAAUUUCUAUUAGAUACACAUGCUGUAAUUUUUGUAACUUUUUUAGGGAUAAUGAUUUUGAUAUUGUUUAUAUUUACUUAUCUGAUGGCGGAUGUGGCCCCAUGAGGACAUCUCUUACAUUUGACAGAGAGGUCACGUAUACCCCCGUUGGUGUACCAAGAGAUUUAUUUUCAAGGGAGGCCGAUUUUUAUAUGUGGCGGACCAUCCCGUUCGAUAAAAUGGGAUGGGAUAAGGUUUCACAACCGCACCGGGAAGCCAUCAUGAACACUUAAGGGCGUAGGGUGGAAAGAUGUGUGCAGAAAAAAUGCAGCGUCCCGAGUGCAUCAGGGAGUGUGAUGGUGUUGUAUGACACCGGCGGAAAUUCUAAAAUGGAAGAGGAGGUGGAUGGGUUGGGGCGAUCACACAAACCGUAGGCGAGUGCUAUGUUUUGAUUCGUAAAAUGCCAAUGAUUAUACCUUUGGAAUUAUUAUAUUUUGAUUGAUAUAUUAAGAGCAUAUUGCAGAUUUGGAUGACCGGGAUUUAGACACACCAAUUGCCGAAAUUCAAAGGAGGAAGAAUGGCAUGGUGCCAAUCGAUCUAAGCAGCACAAGGACCCAGCGUAAAACACCGAAUGUGAAAGAGACAAUUCUAGUGGGUAGUACAAGCGUAAAGACUCGAAAGAGAAGAUGUAUGCGUAUGAUUUUGACGCGUCGGACCAACAAAAACCCAAAACAGUCACACUAACAUGUGUUAAAAUGAUUUAUAACACUUUGUAGCGAGGGCGUUGCUUGACGAAAAGAAGAUACGUGUUGACGAUUGUGUAGUUUCGGUGCAGAAUACAGUUUCAGGACUGAGGAGAAUGACCAGGUCCGUGACGGGUAGGCUGGCUAAUAAGCGAAAGCAGAACGAUAAAGAAACAGACGAAGAAUGGGAUGAGGAAGAUGAGGAAAGUGCAGGAAAUGUGGUUGGUGGGUGAGGAAGAGGGCAAAGAAGGAUAAUUGGCCAGGCAUUAGAACCAGAUCGUCGCCAAUACAACUUGCGAGAUGCAUUAAUGUGCUGUCUUUAGAACAAAGAAUAGCAGUCAAGAGGAUGGGAUUCGGACGUUUGCUUAAGUUCAAGGUAGAUGGGCUUCCGGCGAAGCUGGCAAAUUAUGUGGUUGAGAGGUUUAAUCCUUUAGAUAUGGAGAUAAAUUUGCCGUGUGGGAAGAUCAAGGUAGACGCUAAAGCUAUUCCUAAGUCAAGGUAGACGCUAAAGCUAUUCAUAAGUUAAUUGGCAAGUGGUUUUUGGAUUUGACUCGUUACGCAACCAUUUUGUUUAUUGUCGUCAUGUCGCGCGCAUCCAACUGUUGGUGGUUUUUGUAAUUAUCAUGGACACCACAUAUGUUGUUUAUCUAAAGUUAUGUAGUUUUUGAUUUAGGGUCAUGACGAACAUAUACAAUAUGACACUUAUUGGUGUCGAUUCGUAAACACUUGUGGUUUGUACCAAAACAAAUGGUGAAAUGUAAUCGUUGGAUGUAUGAUUGGUAUCUAAA